AAGGAAUCUUCAUUUUAUUCAAGUUAAUCUUAUAUGAAGCAUCAUGAAAUAGAAUGAAAAUGGUCAAAGCUCAUCUGAUUGCAACAGAAUUCAGGCCAAGAGCCACCAAAGAACUGAUGUCUGCCAAAACCCAUAUGAAGGAUCUUGCAUACAGGUUCACAAGCCUCAUUUGAGCUUUGAGGUGUCAGACUCACCAGCUAACAGUUUGGGCGCAAUCUCUUAGUUUCCAGAGCCAGAAGUUCUCACGUAAGCUACUCCAAGAAUUUCAAUCUUGACCCACAGAAACUGUUUUUACUCCUGGGUCUGAAAAAGUCAUCAAAUCUUGGUAAUUCUUAGACACUGACAUCAGUCAAAGCCUCAUCUGCAGACCUAGGAGAAGGUGAUAAUAAAAAUGAACUGCUUUUGUGAGACACGGGGCCAGAAAUUAAAACUGUUCAAUUGCUCUAGGCCCAAGCAUUAUUUCAGAAGAG
rnacentral:lncRNA from 1 species